AUCCGUUUAGUUUUCUCCUCUACAGUCAGCAUGACUUCUGGUAUUAUCACCUUGGGAUUCUUUAUAUUCUGGGCUGCAGGUGUUUGUGAGUCUGUAUUGAUCACUCAGUGGCCUCAGUACAUCUCCAGACUUCCCAGUGGUCAAGCAGAGAUACAGUGCUACCAGAAUGACACAGAUUAUGAAUAUCUGUAUUGGUACAGACAACGUAAAGGAAAGGAUAUUCAGUUGAUAGUGUAUUUAAUAGCUGGCACACCAAAGUAUGAAGAAGGAUUUACAACCGGCUUUCAGGCAGAGAAAAUAAAUGAGAAGCAGUGGUCUCUGAAAAUAUCCAGCCUGAAGAAGGAAGAUGAGGCUUUUUAUCUGUGUGCUGCAAGUCUACACAGUGCUCACUGUGCCAACUAUGAAGCUUAUUUCGGAGAGGGAACUAAGCUGACUGUUCUCGAGGAUGGACUUGAUGUCACCCCACCGACAGUUAAAGUUCUUCCACCUUCAACAAACGAGUGCAGAAAUAAAAAGGACAAGAAAAGGAAGAAGACGCUGGUGUGUGUGGCGUCUGAUUUCUACCCAGAUCAUGUCACUGUGUCCUGGGAGAUCAACGGGGGAAAAACCGCUGAUGAUGAUGGUGUGGCGACCGACAGCGCUGCCCUGAGGGAUGAAAAGAACAAAAUGUACACGAUCACCAGCAGGCUGAUGGUUGAUGCUAAAAAAUGGUUCAACCCUAGCAAUGAAUUCACCUGCAUUGUCAACUUUUUCGAUGGAAAGGAAACCAUAAAGCGUUCUGGCUCAAUUAAUGGCAUUGAAGAUAAGUCAGGUGAAGGCAUGACAAGAGAGAAAUAUCUGAAGAUCACACAGAACGCCAAACUCUCCUACGGUGUUUUUAUCAUCAAGAGCUGCAUCUAUGGAGCCUUUGUUGGCGUUUUGGUGUGGAAGCUCCAGAGUUCAGGAGGAAAACAGAACAAGUAAAAACUGAGCUGAGGUCUGAACAAACGAUCUUCAGAUCAAAUAUUCUGGCUACUGCAAUAAAAUCUGAAAAUCUGCAGAACAGAAAACAUGCUGUUUAUGUUUUGUUAACUUUGCAAUUAGGAAUUAGCUUCAUAUUCUUGUUGAAAUAUAAAAGUUGUGUUCUGCAUGGCUUGCUGUGUUUAUGUUGAACUAUUUUAACUUAAUGCUUUACUUUCCUCUAAAUAAACAUCUGUAAAAUGAUCUUUUUGAUUAAAUGUUAUUUUCUUUUUGAA